GUCUAGGAGGACCACGAGAGGCAUGAGAAGGAUGCCAUGGAGUUUGUCUCCAAGCGACUUUGGCAUCACUACCGGCACUAAUUUUGCAGCCAGAGACGACUAGCUCAAGACACCAUAGCUCUAUUCCCUUUUGCCACAAGACAAAGCCUCCCACUUCUCCUCCUCCACUCUUGAUACUCCUUGCCUUCACCAUUUUGCUGUUCAGGCUUCCUUCUCCUGUGCAGAACUCAGAUGCAGUCAUCCUCACUUUCCCCAUAGCGUACAUGCUCUCCACCGCGUUUAACGCCUUUUCUCCUCCUACGGCCGCUAUGUACUGCUUUACUAUGUACUGCGCCAUCGACAUCUCCUGCCAUAUUGGAAAGGAAGAUGUAUAGUUAAUGCUCAUAUAUAUAUAUAUAUGUAAAAUGUAAAAACAGAGUAAGGAAGAUGUAUUUUACGAGAGGUUGGUCUUUGAUGUCUUUGUGGAUAGGAUUCUCGUAAUCGUUGUGGUGGUCAGGGAGAACAGGGAGAGGGAUCAAAGGAGCUCCAACGACUCCAAGAAGGAGCUGGAUCUCGGCGUUACGACCACCAAAUAGUCUCGUCAUGUUUGUUGCGGUUGCGGUUGCAUGAGUCGCGG
rnacentral:lncRNA from 1 species